UACGUAGGGUCCGAGCGUUGUCCGGAAUUAUUGGGCGUAAAGGGCUCGUAGGCGGUUUGUCGCGUCGGGAGUGAAAACACCGGGCUUAACUCGGUGCUUGCUUUCGAUACGGGCAGACUGGAGGUAUGCAGGGGAGAACGGAAUUCCUGGUGUAGCGGUGAAAUGCGCAGAUAUCAGGAGGAACACCGGUGGCGAAGGCGGUUCUCUGGGCAUUAACUGACGCUGAGGAGCGAAAGCAUGGGGAGCGAACAGG
rnacentral:rRNA from 1 species